UAUUAUUAUUAUUAUUAUUUUUAAUCUGGGUUAUUACAACCAAUCCUGCAAGCUAGCUAUGACACUUGACUUAGAGCCACUUAGCUAUGACUAUAUCUAGGUUUUCCAAUUACCAAUUUUCGCUUGAGCCUGGAGUUCUCAUUGGGAGAGGAAUGGCAACUAUAGCUGGAAUAAGGCUGGUUUAUACUACUAUGAGAAUUGGUAUUGUCUGGUCUAACUUAAUACAACGAUUUCUUCUUGUCACAAUGAUGUUAGCACUGCAUCAUGAUCCAAUU
rnacentral:lncRNA from 1 species